rnacentral:rRNA from 1 species
UACAGAGGUCCCAAGCGUUGUUCGGAUUCAUUGGGCGUAAAGGGUGCGUAGGCGGAUUGCUAAGUCAGGGGUGAAAUCCUGGAGCUCAACUCCAGAACUGCCUUUGAUACUGGCGACCUUGAGUCCGGGAGAGGUGAGUGGAACUGCGAGUGUAGAGGUGAAAUUCGUAGAUAUUCGCAAGAACACCAGUGGCGAAGGCGGCUCUCUGGGACGGUACUGGC